ACUGCCCGCCUUGCCCAAAGGAACACAUCGCCCCUGAUAAUCCGGCACUGCUACGCAGUAAAAUCAAUUGCGCAAUAUGAUAUAGGUUGCCAUAUUGACAAAUGGGUUGAAUAUGGUAUAGUGUAUUUAUUGUGUAAGACAUGAUUGCGUUUCAUACAGAAAUGACAUAACGGAAGGGGGCGGGAGAUGGGUCAGAGAGUACGGGAGAAACCCGGGAAAAACGGGAGAGUUGGCAGGUAUGGUCUGCGUAUUAGAGCGUAUGGGAAAGUUAACGAAAAGUAACAGCCCCAUACACACAUAAUGAAAGGACUAAAGGAGACAUCAAUUAUUUUUCCCUGGACAGCCGUGAGUGUGACGACAAAGGAGAGGUCACUCCAGAGACUGUUCAGAAACCGAAACACCUCAACCAAAAACCUUUCACUUCCAGUCUCCAAACCUGUCACCUUUUUCCAUUCUGGCUGAGAGCGUUUAUAAGAAAAAUGGUAGACUGCUGAGAUAGUGGCCCUUUUGUGAGGUUGACCACAAAACUACAAUGAAUCACAUGAGGAGUAUUUCAUGAGGAGAUGAUUGUUGAUGAUUUUCAUGUGUCACAUCAUGUGACGAGUGGGAAAUCCUCCACCAUAAAAACACUGCUAAUUAUAAUACUACAGUGUCGAUUUGUUGCUGCUACAGACCCCAACUGUCCGUAUAUCCCAAUCAUUAAGGAGUGGGCUAAUAGCAUCCCCAGAGAUUUUCGAUUAGAGAUUCCACUCGGCUGUGGUGAUAAGAUCAGCUGUGACGAUCUCCUACGGGCCCUUGUUAACAGCUACUGCAUGAACAGGAAUUGCAGUGAUGAUAAGCCCAAUACGUCUUGCAAUGAAACUAAUAAAAAAACAAAGACGUUGAUUUACUGCUUGAAUGAUAAUUAUUCUAUCUCCUGCCAGGAGCCCCUAGGGUUUCAAAACCCAAGGAUAUAUAUGUUAGUGAAUGAUACAGAUUUCACCCAUAACAUUCAAGGUUGUCUCAUGGACAAGGUGCCAGGUACAACAGCAUCCACCACCUGUACUAUGACCACCACCACCACGACAUCUCGUAGUGCACCAACAACAGUUACCCCCGGCAGUACACCCACCUCCUCCACCCCCACCACAUCUUCUAUCAUCACAGAUAGUACACAGUCCCCAACGCCUUCCCAUGCCUCUCACACCUCAGAACAAUUUAGUGCGACAUCUGGAUAUGGUAUGCUGGUCAUACUGUUGACAUCUCUGGGUUUAAACAUAACAUUGUCAUGGUUGUUACUGAAGCAGAGAAGCCGCCACCAACAGCAACCCAUAAACCUAAGUCUAGACUAUGUUGGAGCUCCUGGAGAAGCUGAAGCAGAGUCGUUAGCGGGUGAUUCCCUGCCCUAGAACUGGCUGCCUACUCCAGUGUUCUAGAGACAUCAGUAACAGUGUUCCAGAGACGGCAGAUGGAUUACAGAGGACGGGCCUGCUGUACUCCCAACACUGUCUCCAUGAGAGACUGCCAAUCCACCAGUCUGUGACUACAGAGACUGUUACUGUCAAACACCUGCAUCAGGACACCCUCAGACCGGUCUUUGGCUAUGGACUAGAGACCUCAACAGGAGAACCAACCUCAGUCACAACAUGAGCCCCACACCAUUCCACAGACAUUGACAGACCUGCAUGUGAAGCAUGUUCAGAUACUAUGGCACAUUAGGGCCCGUUUCACACUGCCUGCGUUGAGUGUGUGUGGUGGCUGCGUUACCUGUUGAUUUUCAUGUCAGUGCCCUUGCUAACAGGUUAGAACAUGCACAAUGCUUGACUGAGAUGUGCAGUCAUAUCGAGUCGAGUUUCAGUGUGGCGACUAUUUGUUACACGUGAGAUAAGAUAAUCUCAGUAAAAAAGACAUGUUGACAUUAUACCACCAACCAACAUUAUAACUGGCGUCUUUCAUUGCAGUUUCGAGGUAUGGGCUAUAUCGCACAGACAUGACAGAAAUAUAAAUGUCCCUCUCUCACUUAUCAUGCUUAUAAUAUAAUAUAAUAUAAGAGUAUAAUAUUCUCUAAUUAAUCAUGUCUGAAUUGUGUCUUGUUUCUUUCUGACUAACUAUUGAGUUUGACAUAGUUCAUGUUUACAAAUGAUAUGUUGCGGAGAAACUAGCAACGAUCCACAAACAGGCGUCGAGAGGCUGAAUGUGAAGUUUAUUUGUGUUAUCUAAACUUUUACGCAAUCAGAACUUGUUGUGUGUUUGGUAGCACUCCCAACUCCUGGGGGGUAUUCGUCGUAGCUCGCUAAGCGGUUUAGCGAGCUAAUUUUCAGGCUAAGAUAAAAAAAACGCCCCUCUUUUUGGUUCGUGGAAGCAACUUUUGAUAAAUCACCAUAGUUACAUAUCGAUUAGCACUAACCUGCUCCAGGGCAGGCUAACUUAAGUGUAGCUGGAUAAGUUUGCCACACCCCCGGAAAAAGGAGGGAUCCCAUUGACCAAGGACUGAUAUUAGAGUUAGAUUAGCGGAGGGAGAGAGUUCUUUGCGAUCGCCAAGAUCCAUUAUUCUUGUAUGAGCGCUACCGAUUCAGCCGACAAGGAAUCAUUAAUUUACAAGACCUUCUCGAGUCAUUUAUUGCAAACACCACAGUCGAACAUUGACUGUCUUUAGUACACCAUAGCAUAUCAUUAUUGUAGAAAAUGAUUAAGGUGGACUCAUGAUAAGAAUAGAGAGAAAUACAGACAAUUUAUUUUCACUGCUUCAAUUUAUUGCAUUUGUUAUUAAUACAUUUAGUCAUUUAACAG
ensembl:lncRNA